rnacentral:sRNA from 1 species
GGCCCUAGUUUCUCUCAGUCUGAGUCUGGCGGUUACAAGCUAAGACAUGUUUUCCCGUCUUCGCAAGCGUUUUGGGAGGGGGAACGUCGAUUAUGGAGAGACUAGAGUGAAGGAGUUUGGCCUUUCGUCUCAAAGUACAAAGACAGCACUUUUGGGGAAUGUCGAGUAAGCUCUGAGCAGUAUAUAUUGAGCUUCCUGUCAGGGGGGCUGGAGGCUUACGCUGACCAUUCUAGCAAUGGGCCACAACAACUGGAGCAUCUGAAAAGGAAUUGAAUUUCCACGAAUAUCACAAUUCCUUAAAGUCAAGAUUUCAGAACAUUAGAUUCUCCAUCCCCACUGGGAGGAUAUGCUGAUCUAGAUCUGAGGAACAGGUGCUUUUAAAGAAGCAUGUGAAAGUAUCUCCUGCAGGAGAGCUCACUAUGCAGGGAAAGUCACACAGGACAGGGAAAAGUGGCUUCCCAACUUCCACGGGGCGAGCGAACCAGGGAGGGCACAGGAUGGUUGAGGAGUUUAUGAAAGGCCUGCAUCUCCCUGAAAGUCUUCCAGCAACCCUACAUCCCACAACUAUCCCAGGCUCACAGGUGAGGAUCAGCCAAGCCUGCCACCUACGGGGGUCCCUGCAAAGUAAACCUGGAGUGGUGAACUGGGGAAAACACUUCAGGGGAGGGGGAGACACCAGUCCCCAGGGCCAAGCCUGGCAUCUGUUCAUUUGGCUCUGGCUUCUAGGUGUUGCCUAGUGCAGGGCUUGGUGAGCCCAGAUCUCAAAAGUCUUUGGCCAAAGAAGUGAGAGCCCACAGGGCAAUGCAAACCACGGCAGGGCAGGGCAGAGCAAAGCCGCACUCCAGCAGACAGUGUAUAAGCUGUGGGCAUGCGGGACUGGCUCAUUAUAAGGCAGGGGAGUAACACACUCCUUCUAAACAAAGAAUGACUGUACUAAUAAUCUAACCUUAAUAUUUUGAAUUUCUUGUCCCAUAUAAAGAACUGCCUCUUCUAGAGCAUUCGCCCUGUCUUCAAACCCUCCAUGUAUCUUUCCUUGAAUCAAUAAAGCAAUACUAACAUUCUUAGAUAACUUAGAUGAGCAGUGUGGACCUCUCUAACCAAAGAAGUAGUAGAUAAGGCAAAAGGAGACAUUACACCAAUCAGAGCAGUAAGACCCAGAAUUAAGGCAACCACAAAACGCCUACCUCUACGAAGUACAGAGGAGGCAUGAUGAAUGGCCUCUAUGCCAGGAUCAAAAAACCAUGUCCCAUUAACAUAGACAGGCAAAAGUACAUAAGGAGGUUGUCGUACUAUGACAAAAACAUUUUUCCUUGUAACACUAAGACAAUUAGAUAAUUGACAAUUUAUGCAAGUAACAUGAUAAA